UCCUCCUACGCCAUCCCACGUACACGUCUCCUAUUUUCUAUUCAGCAAACUCUUCUGUGGGUUACGAGUGGAAAUCUAUUUCUUCAUCAAUAAUCUCGAGCACGCCCCGCCUCUUCCUGGCAUGUUCGUGCAAUCUAGGGUUUUCAGUGCCUCGCCCUCUGGACUCCCCGCUGAGCCACGCUCGCUGUCUCUCAUCCGUUUUCCUCGCCAUAUGGCUGGCAGGGAAACAAAGGAUCUCGUGCCAACAAUUAAAUCUUCACCGAUUUUAACCAAGGAUUCUAUGCCAGCCAUUAAAUCUUGGCCGAUUUUAUCCGCAUCCUGUCCUCCAUGGAUGAAGUAGUUAAGGCCUUAGGGGGGAUAGCUGUGGUGCGCCCAUAAUCACCAACGCACCUCUGACCAGUCAAUCUUACCUCAGGCCGUGGGAUAUUCAAUUACAGAUUUCUGUUAAACUGUUGUUAUAUAAGGUGAGUUACUCCAAUCAUGUUUAUAUGUCUUUUUUGUGUACUAACGUUCAUAUAGUAAGGUUCCUUCUACAGAAGUCACUAAGGCAGUAUGAGAAGGCAACAUCUAAAUAGUUGAUUGAGCAAUUCCUGAAAUUGUAUUAAUCCUUAUUUAGUAAUAUUAUCAGCAGUUUGCCGAAGCAACACUUAGUUUUCACUGAUUCUCAUGUUUCGGGAGCAUAGAAGCUGUAAGGCUCUAAUUAACUUUACUGUCCUAUUCAAAUUCAGCACUCCAAUUUUUGAAUUUUUGUCCGCUGCCAUAGCCAGUGAUCAUAACAAUAUAUACGUACAGUUUAUGCAGAUUCAAGAAAAACUAAGGGCGAGUCUCUCCAUCAUUUUGAAUGAAUGCUCCUAUAAUAUACUGCCUGGCAGAAACCUUGCUGGGAUUCAAGCUCUAAUACAAAUUUGCAUGUUACCUUGAUGUGCUAUAUAAUGUAGUCCCUGGAGUACUCAUGACUAAAAAAUUAAUUAGCACUCCGUUGCCCUGUAUGUAACUCUUGCUUGGACCAGCAUCUCAUGAGGAAGGGGGAGAGGGGACACCAAAGAUAGGUGUAGGUACGUACUAUAGUUGCCUAAUUGAAUCUGUGCUGCACACCGAAACAUGCACUUGCCGAAACAGUAAGUACGUAGUUUUUAAUUAUUUUAUCUGGCUUUUCCUCUAUUGACACUCACAUGUGUUGUCUCUUCAAAUCUCCAGAUAGCCCAGCCUUGCCAGUUCAGCAUGGAGGCAGUAGCUAACACCACUACCUCUCCACCCAACACUAUAAUGUCCCAGUCUCGCCCUCUUCUGCUUUAUUCUUCAGGAGUAUAUGUCCGUCUUCUUCGUCCUAAUGACGUCCGCAUGCUAGAUCACCCCCACCUUGAACGGUACUUCUGAAAAAGAUGGAUAUGUCAACCUUUUGCAAGUAUGGAAUAUUUUUUAUAUUAAGUAUAUCUAUUUAUUACAGAUUUGUCAUGCUACCAAUAAGUAAGAUUUGUUUUCUCUUCAUAAAGUAUAUGAUUCUAUUUCACUUUCUUUUUACGUGAAUGCCUAACCAGAUACAAAAGAAAAUAUGGUUUAAUAUGUGGUGCUUGCGUGCUUUCCAUCGGACAGGCUAAGAAACUUUAUAUUAUAUCUUCUACAUUAAAUGUCCCUCUCGGGUAGAGUUUUUUACUAGGCAUAAUUAUUUUCCCUGAACCUAAAUGACUCAUCCAAAUUUCCGACAUUACAAGAUUUGUUAGGUAAACUCGUAAAGUACUUUCAUAGUAUUUCUAAUGAUUUCAACAUUUUGUCCUACAUAUCGAUCUCCAUGAUAGUGAAGGUGGAGGUGAACAAUUUAUCUUCAAGAUAAUUUCUAGACUGGAUUACCUUUUAAAUUCUAAAUAUAUUAUUUGUCUCUGCCAGUUUGCUUAAUGCAAGACGCAAUUUUCUUAGUAUAAAGCCUUAGAUUUUAAACUAUGAUUUAUAAUAUGUCAAUUUUAAUACCUCAUUUUCUCUUCAGUUAUGUAUUUUCUCCCUUUGUUGGUAUUUCAUAUCCAAUAAUAAGAUGUUUACAUAAUUUAUUUUGUAUAACAGAGAAGUUUAAAUUAACGUUCCGCAUUCGAGCAGCCUUAAAAAUAUUGGGGCUGCAAUGACCAGAUUCAUACUAGGUUGUGUAUUUCUGUGUUAGAAAUAUUAUAUCAGUCAUCUAAUGAAUUUUGGGGAAGAUUGUAUGUGAACCCUACUUUGCCAGGAUUAUAGUAUGUGUUUUGAAAGUUAAGGUAUGUUCAAGGAUGACACUAUGAUAGUUUUAUCUCCUAUUAUAUUUACCUGUAGUUAGACGCAAUAACAUUUCCUUAUAAAAGAUUGAUAUCUCCUUGGAUUUUACAUUGCUAUCAUAUUAUGCAAAAGGGUAAGUAUGGAAUGAGAUGAGCAUGGAAACUCAGUAUAACUACACCAAUGCAGUUUUAAUAUUUACCUUAUUAAUGAACAUACAGAUUAAUAAUUAACUAGGAUAGCUGUACAUUUCCUUCCCUUUUUGGCCAUCUUUUCUCUUCGUUUGGUUGUUUAUUCGGUCUUCUGCUCCUCGGGUGUUUCUUCUUAUGUACUUUCGCAUCUUUCUAAUGAUUUUUUCUAAUAUGAAAAGAACAUCACUUAAAGAUAUAUAAGCUGAAACGGUGUGCAUCUAUUUAAUUACUCUCAAGGGUUGUACGUGGGAACAUAGGCGCGCGCCACACAUCGGCUAGCUCAUGCGUCUAUCCGAUGGGCCGGUUCAGGAGCUGUUGGAUCAUGUGCGUGGCCUCAU